rnacentral:rRNA from 1 species
AGAGGUUACUGCUAUCGGGGUUCGAUUAAGCCAUGCAAGUUAAAUGUUUUUCGUAAACAUAGCGAACUGCUCAGUAACACGUGGAUAACUUAACCUUAGGUCCGGCAUAACCCCGGGAAACUGGGGAUAAUUCCGGAUGUAUCAAGGAUGCUGGAAUGCCCUUUGGUUCAAAGCUUUUGUGCCUAAGGAUAGGUCUGCGGUCUAUCAGGUUGUAGUGGGUGUAACGUACCUACUAGCCGACGACGGAUACGGGUUGUGAGAGCAAGAGCCCGGAGAUGGAUUCUGAGACAAGAAUCCAGGCCCUACGGGGUGCAGCAGGCGCGAACACUUUACAAUGCGGGAAACCGCGAUAAGGGAACCCCGAGUGCCAGUACUAAGUGCUGGCUGUCUAGAUGAAUAGAUAUCAUUUAAUAGCAAGGGCCGGGCAAGACCGGUGCCAGCCGCCGCGGUAACACCGGCGGCCCGAGUGGUAACCGAUAUUAUUGGGUCUAAAGGGUCCGUAGCCUGUUUAAUAAGUCCUUUGGGAAAUCUGGCAGCUUAACUGUCAGGCUGCUAAAGGAUACUGUUAAACUUGGGACCGGUAGACGUAGGGGGUACUCCAGGGGUAGGAGUGAAAUCUUGUAAUCCCUGGGGGACCAUCUGUGGCGAAGGCGCCCUACGAGAACGGGUCCGACGGUGAGGGACGAAAGCUAGGGGAGCAAACCGGAUUAGAUACCCGGGUAGUCCUAGCUGUAAACGAUGCUCGCUAGGUGUCAGGCACGGUGCGUCCGUGUCUGGUGCCGCAGGGAAGCCGUUAAGCGAGCCACCUGGGGAGUACGGUCGCAAGGCUGAAACUUAAAGGAAUUGGCGGGGGAGCACUACAACGGGUGGAGCCUGCGGGUUU